rnacentral:rRNA from 1 species
GAUGAACGCUAGCGGCAGGCUUAACACAUGCAAGUCGAGGGGUAGGUUACUUCGGUAAUUGAGACCGGCGCACGGGUGCGUAACGCGUAUACAAUCUACCUUUUACAGAGGGAUAGCCCAGAGAAAUUUGGAUUAAUACCUCAUAGUAUUUUUGAAUCGCAUGAUUUGAUUAUUAAAGUUCCAACGGUAAAAGAUGAGUAUGCGUCCCAUUAGCUAGAUGGUAAGGUAACGGCUUACCAUGGCUACGAUGGGUAGGGGUCCUGAGAGGGAGAUCCCCCCANACUGGUACUGAGACACGGACCAGACUCCUACGGGAGGCAGCAGUGAGGAAUAUUGGACAAUGGGGCGCAAGCCUGAUCCAGCCAUGCCCGCGUGCAGGAAGAAGGUCCUAUGGAUUGUAAACUGCUUUUUAUACAGGAAGAAACACUCCCUCGUGAGGGAACUUGACGGUACUGUAUGAAUAAGGACCGGCUAAACUCCGUGCCAGCAG